rnacentral:rRNA from 1 species
UACGUAGGCAGCAAGCGUUGUUCGGAGUUACUGGGCGUAAAGGGUGUGUAGGCGGCCUGUUAAGUUCCGUGUGAAAUCUCCCGGCUCAACCGGGAGCGUGCGCGGAAAACUGGCGGGCUAGAGUACGGGAUGGGAGAGUAGAAUUCCUGGUGUAGCGGUGAAAUGCGUAGAUAUCAGGAGGAAUACCUGUGGUGUAGACGGCUCUCUGGACCGCCACUGACGCUGAAACACGAAAGCGUGGGUAGCAAACAGG